CCUACGGGUGGCAGCAGUGGGGAAUUUUGGACAAUGGGCGCAAGCCUGAUCCAGCUAUUCCGCGUGUGGGAAGACGGCCUUCCGGUUGUAAACCACUUUUGUAGAGAACGAAAAGUCUAUUGAUAAUACCGAUCGAUGAUGACGCUACUCUCAGAAUAAGCGCCGCCUCACUACGUGCCAGCAGCCGCGGUAAGACGGAGGGUACGGGCGUUAAUCGGAAUUACUGGGCGUAAAGGGUGUGCAGGCGGUUUUGCAAGAUGGGUGUGAAAGCCCCGGGAUUAACCUGGGAAAGCCAUACAUGACUGCAAGACUAGAGUGCGGCAGAGGGGAGUGGAAUUCCAAGUGUAGCAGUGAAAUGCGUAGAUAUUUGGAAGAACACCGAUGGCGAAGGCAGCCCCCUGGGACGCAACUGACGCUCAUACACGAAAGCGUGGGGAGCAAACAGGAUUAGAUACCCUAGUAGUC
rnacentral:rRNA from 1 species